rnacentral:rRNA from 1 species
UUUAUUAUACCAUGUUGCUUUGGCGGGCCUGCCUUAUGGGGCUGCCGGGGGCACUACUGCCCCUGACUCGUGCCUGCCAGGAGCCUUCUUUAAAUUCUGUGUUAAAUUAUGUUGUCUGAGCCUCAAUAUUAAAUUACAAAAAACUUUCAACAACGGAUCUCUUGGUUCUGGCAUCGAUGAAGAACGCAGCGAAAUGCGAUAAGUAAUGCGAAUUGCAGAAUUCAGUGAGUCAUCGAAUCUUUGAACGCACAUUGCGCCCUUUGGUAUUCCGAAGGGCAUGCCUGUUCGAGCGUCAUUAUCAAAUUAUCAAGCUUGGCUUGUUUGUUGGGCCCUUUUGUCACCUGGUGAUAGGUCCAAAAGAUAAUGACAGGUGUCGUAAAGACUAUAUGCAACGAGCUUAUAACAGCACGCAUCUAGUAGUUAUAUGACCCCGGUCUCACCCCUUUAUUUCUCAAGGUUGACCUCGGAUCAGGUAGGAAUACCCGCUGAACUUAAG